GUGGGGAAUCUUAGACAAUGGGGGCAACCCUGAUCUAGCCAUGCCGCGUGAGUGAUGAAGGCCUUAGGGUCGUAAAGCUCUUUCGCUGGGGAAGAUAAUGACGGUACCCAGUAAAGAAACCCCGGCUAACUCCGUGCCAGCAGCCGCGGUAAUACGGAGGGGGUUAGCGUUGUUCGGAAUUACUGGGCGUAAAGCGCGCGUAGGCGGAUUGGAAAGUUGGGGGUGAAAUCCCGGGGCUCAACCCUGGAAUGGCCUUCAAAACUCCCAGUCUUGAGGUCGAGAGAGGUGAGUGGAAUUCCGAGUGUAGAGGUGAAAUUCGUAGAUAUUCGGAGGAACACCAGUGGCGAAGGCGGCUCACUGGCUCGAUACUGACGCUGAGGUGCGAAAGCGUGGGGAGCAAACAGGAUUAGAUACCCCUGUAGUCC
rnacentral:rRNA from 1 species